AACGAACGCUGGCGGCGUGGAUAAGACAUGCAAGUCGAACGGGACUUUUCGUUGUAGCAAUACGAUGGAAAGUCUAGUGGCGAACGGGUGCUUAACACGUGGGCAACCUGCCAUGAAGUGGGGGAUAGCUCGCCGAAAGGCGAAUUUAUACCGCAUGUGAUUAGAGAGGACAUCCUUUCGAAAUUAAAGUCGGGGCAACCUGACGCUUCUUGUGGGGCCCGCGGCCUAUCAGCUAGUUGGUGAGGUAACGGCUCACCAAGGCUUUGACGGGUAGCUGGUCUGAGGGGACGACCAGCCACACCGGGACUGAGACACGGCACAGACACCUACGGGUGGCAGCAGUCGAGAAUUUUUGACAAUGGGGGAAACCCUGAUCGAGCGACGCCGCGUGGAGGAUGAAGGUCUUCGGAUUGUAAACUCCUGUCAUUGGGGAACAAUGCACAGAUAUUAACUGUAUCUGUGUUGAUAGUACCCGAAGAGGAAGAGACGGCUAACUCUGUGCCAGCAGCCGCGGUAA
rnacentral:rRNA from 1 species